AGAGCUUUGGCUCAGUGGAAGAAUGUAUGCUUUCUAUGCAAAGGGACCCAGGUUUGAUUCCUGAAAAUUCCA
rnacentral:tRNA from 1 species